rnacentral:rRNA from 1 species
AUAUGAGGCGGGCUGGACCUCUCGGGGUUACAGCCUUGCUGAAUUAUUCACCCUUGUCUUUUGCGUACUUCUUGUUUCCUUGGUGGGUUCGCCCACCACUAGGACAAACAUAAACCUUUUGUAAUUGCAAUCAGCGUCAGUAACAAAUUAAUAAUUACAACUUUCAACAACGGAUCUCUUGGUUCUGGCAUCGAUGAAGAACGCAGCGAAAUGCGAUAAGUAGUGUGAAUUGCAGAAUUCAGUGAAUCAUCGAAUCUUUGAACGCACAUUGCGCCCUUUGGUAUUCCAAAGGGCAUGCCUGUUCGAGCGUCAUUUGUACCCUCAAGCUUUGCUUGGUGUUGGGCGUCUUGUCUCUAGCUUUGCUGGAGACUCGCCUUAAAGUAAUUGGCAGCCGGCCUACUGGUUUCGGAGCGCAGCACAAGUCGCACUCUCUAUCAGCAAAGGUCUAGCAUCCACUAAGCCUUUUUUUCAACUUUUGACCUCGGAUCAGGUAGGGAUACCCGCUGAACUUAAGCAUAUCAAUAAGCGGAGGAA